rnacentral:rRNA from 1 species
UAGGGAAUCUUCGGCAAUGGACGAAAGUCUGACCGAGCAACGCCGCGUGAGUGAAGAAGGUUUUCGGAUCGUAAAACUCUGUUGUUAGAGAAGAACAAGGACGUUAGUAACUGAACGUCCCCUGACGGUAUCUAACCAGAAAGCCACGGCUAACUACGUGCCAGCAGCCGCGGUAAUACGUAGGUGGCAAGCGUUGUCCGGAUUUAUUGGGCGUAAAGCGAGCGCAGGCGGUUUCUUAAGUCUGAUGUGAAAGCCCCCGGCUCAACCGGGGAGGGUCAUUGGAAACUGGGAGCCUUGAGUGCAGAAGAGGAGAGUGGAAUUCCAUGUGUAGCGGUGAAAUGCGUAGAUAUAUGGAGGAACACCAGUGGCGAAGGCGGCUCUCUGGUCUGUAACUGACGCUGAGGCUCGAAAGCGUGGGGAGCAAACAGG